CUCGUAGGCGGUUUGUCGCGUCUGCUGUGAAAAUCUGAGGCUCAACCUCGGACUUGCAGUGGGUACGGGCAGACUAGAGUGCAGUAGGGGAGAAGGGAAUUCCUGGUGUAGCGGUGGAAUGCGCAGAUAUCAGGAGGAACACCAAUGGCGAAGGCACUUCUCUGGGCUGUAACUGACGCUGAGGAGCGAAAGCGUGGGGAGCGAACA
rnacentral:rRNA from 1 species